rnacentral:lncRNA from 1 species
CACAAACAUUUAGACCGUAGCAGCAAGAAUGGGGGAGAGCCAGUUCAGAUCAUCUACAGGUUUUCUGGAAGCUAAUUUAGUUUAGUUUCAUUUAAGUUUAGUUUAGUUUCAUUUUGCUCUUUCUUAAUUCAUUGCUGGAUUUAUUAUUUUCUUGGUCAUGAGCUAAUUUAUGCUAUAGUAGAAAGGGGUAAAUACAAAACACAAUACCCAAAGCAUGGAAAGCCUGAAAAGUGAAUUGUUUCCAAGUUUUCACCAACUGAAUUAGAAACAAACUUGCUGAUCAAAUGAAUCUCUUCUGAUUAGAACUACUUAUAUUAUACAGUGUGUCUAACAGAGGAUUCUUAAUGGGCACUGCUGGUCCUCCACCCAGAUUCACUUGGAUCCUUUGACCAUUUCUGCAUACCCCUCUUCAGGCUUCGGCGUGCUUCUAUCUGCAAAGAUCUGCACCUGCAACUCCUCUUCUGAGCCUUGACCUUAGACUCCAGAGCUGCUUUGCUUGGGAAGUACCUGAGAGUUUAUGCCUUCCAAGGUGAUUUUUAGCCAGUGACGGGUGCACGUGGAAGUGUGAGAGCCCAGCUCCCUUGUUUCAGGGCAAAGCUGCUCUGAGGUGUAACAUAUGCCAAGCCAUCUGAUUUCUUCAACAAAUAUUUGGCAAGCAAAAGAGGUCUUGGCUGUAAGAGCUCUCCAUGCUACAGCUUUGACAAAUUGCAUAUUUAUGGUUUAGUGGGACGCUUAUCCCUUGUCAGUUUUGUACAUUGGUAAUUAGAUAUAGAAGUUUCAUUGAAUUCAGCUCUUUUUUCCUUGUUCUCAAAAAAUAUCUCAUAAUUGGGAAUCUGUACUUCGCCUUACAUCGGAAGGCCCAUAAUGUCAAGUUCAGGUUUUGCCAGCCUAAUCCAGUCAUUAUAAAAUUCACUAUCAAUCUUUCACCUGGAGGCUUUAGCAGCCAAUGGUGAGUGUUAACCACCAAUAUCGUUUUGUUACAUGUUGCCAAAUAGUGAAUUCCAAUUCUAUUGCUUCUGCAUUUGGUAGCUGGAAUUCACCUCUAAAGAACAUUCUCUCACUAUUUGGUAACCCUGAAAUAUAAUUUGUAUAAGAAGUCCUUGAUUCUUCUAUUUGCAGACUUUUGGAACAAUGACUUGGUAUCCUAGCAACCUUCAGAGGUGACCAAUUAAAGGAGUAUUUUUAUAGAAAAAUUCUUGAAGAAUUCUUAGAUUGUUACAUAUUUGAUACAUUUUAAUCCAUUGAGGUAAUUACUCUUUUUGAUGAUUAAAUUGUGCCAUCUUUGGCCAUUAAGACUACAUUCACAUGGGCUCCUGUAGCUUUCUAGCACCAUCUCACAUACAAAGCAUUCCCAGGUCUUGUAUAAUUUCUUCCCCAGACAUGAAGUUAGUCAUUUUUCUAAGGAACUUGAUUUC